rnacentral:rRNA from 1 species
UACGUACGAGGCGAGCGUUAUCCGGAAUUACUGGGCGUAAAGCGCGCGCAGGCGGACCAUUAAGUUGGGCGUGAAAUCUCCCGGCCUAACUGGGAGGGGUCGCCCAAGACUGGUGGUCUUGAGGACAGCAGAGGUGGGUGGAAUUCCUGGUGUAGUGGUGAAGUGCGUAGAGAUCAGGAGGAACACCGGUGGCGAAGGCGGCCCACUGGGCUGUCACUGACGCUGAGGCGCGAAAGCGCGGGGAGCGAACGGG